CAGGCACAUGAAGGUUCCCAAGCUAGGGGUCCAAUCGGAACUGCAGCCACUGGCCUACACCACAGCCACAGCAACGUGGGAUCUGAGCCAGGUCUGCAGCCUGCACCGCAGCUCAAGACAAGCCAGAUGCUUCACCCACUGAGCGCGGCCAGGGAUGGAACCUGCUUCCUCAUGGAUACUAGUUGGGUUCGUUACCGCUAAGCCUCAGUGGGAACUCCCUGGAUCUUCUCUAACACUGAACAAAUUUUGUAACAAUAUGGUGAACAAGUUUUUUAACAAUCUGCGGACAGAGCGAACCAUGCACAGUGAGCCACAUGCCAUAUAACCCACCGACACACAACCACUAACUAGCACGAGUAAGCAGUUAGUGAGGGAACGUUAUUAGUGAAACAUGAAAAAUGUGUUGGGGACCCAUGCGAUCCAGCUUACUUGACUGGGAGCUAGUCGUAUGGAUCUCAUCCAUAUAAAGACUCUUCAGGAUAGAAGAACCAUCCAGACGGCAAGAAGCAGCUCAAGCAGGGUUUUGCUAUUUAUUUCUAAUGCUCACUGGCUCAACAUCUCAGCCCUAUGUGCAGCCAUGAACAAACACUCUGCACUGUAGCUACCCUGGAUUACAUGCAGCUACCAGAACACUUGCAUUCUUUUGUUCCUGCUGUUGCAUCUUCUUGAAAUGUUCUCUAUUCUUGAUAAAGAAAAUCUUAUUUACUCUUUAAAGCUUAGUUGAAACAUUACUCCACUGUAAAACCCAAGGCAGAUUUAAGCAUAAAAUCAGCACAUCUGUUGAGUACCUGCUCUGUGCCAGACAGUAAACACUAUCUCAGCAAAUGAGAUAAAAGCCUCUCUGCCUUCACGGAGCUUACACUCUGCUCUCCCACAGCGCUCAGCUCCUGUGAGACAGUUCUUAGCAUGUUCACACUUAUAAUUAUUAGAGAAAUUGGGCAGUGUUUACUUCCCCCGCCGGACUGGGCUUCUUAAAAAGAUGAAUGUGUCUCCCCAUAAAACCAUCUUCUCCAGCAGUUCAGAGGUUUCACUCCCUGCAAUUUCGGAGUUUGUGAAUUGUACAUGCAGGAGGCAUUCAGCAUGUGCUACCCCAAGAGGGGAGCCACCCUGUUAUAAAAGACCCCAUAACUAGCAAGGCUUAAACUUUCUGUGGGAAAGUAACAAACUACAGGAAAUUUUAAAAGUAAUUUAGAAGUCAAAACUAUUCAUCACAAUUCCCCAGAACUCAGUGCUACAUUCCGCUUCCCCUAAAAAAGUGACAAAAACACUGAAACAUUAAUCAAUCCAGAUACCUGCUAAUCACUCCUACAGUUAAUUUGAGCAACAGAGAAAAGAAUCAGUAUUCUCAAAUUAACCCUGCAGAGACAUAUUAGCAUAGAAACACAACACAAAUUCGUGUUGACAUCUGGAGUUCUGCACAGUAACUACACCCAAAACCCAAGUAGAUGGGUCAUGUCCUCUUAAAGCAACUUCAAAAUCACUUCUUAUUGGUAUCAAAUCACAAAAGAUUCCUAUCAUAGGAUUCUCCUAAGUCGCCAUGUCUAAGGUCCACACUCUGGGCUAGCAAAGAAAAUGGUUAAUUUUGUCAGGAUGGGAAGUGAGAGGCAGAGUUUAGACACACGCCACGCUGCUGUGGCAAUGAGCUCCCCAGAGUGUCUUGCAGGGGUCUAUGAUUCUCCCUGGAUCCUCCUCUGUGUUUGGAGAGUUCUCUGAAGGUGACAAGACCCAAAACAUGUUGCUUUAGUGCCCUGGACAAUGACUUGCACCUGCGAGGGGUGCAGUGAUGGUUUUCUCAUGAUUUGAAUAUGUACCAUAUAUUAUCAUAUGACAUGGAAUAUGUACACUCCGCACUUGAGAUUAUCCAAUGCCAACACUGCCACGUUGCUAAUGUUUGACUUUUACAUCACCUGCAUCCUGUUUAUAACCCUGCCCCCCACACAGGAUAGCUCAAAGUGAAUACUGGAAUCGCCCAGGGCCACAAAAAUACCCAAGUUAUUUAUGCAAAGAUAUUGACUGAAUAUACUACAUCAUCCUCAAAGACAAUCAUUCCAAGCAGAAAUCGGCUCAUCGUAGGGAGCGAUAAUCAUUCAUAAUAGAUGUCAUUUAAUCACUCAUUUAUAAACUGGUUUUUGCGAGUUGAUCGUGUAGAAAGAUGAAGAGUCAUCACUAGGAAUGUACGUAAGGCACUGUCCCUGUCCCCACGAGCCUAGUCUGAAGGAGGAGAAAAGAUGGACCUCACUGGAGUAUCCGCUCCUCUUGUUGGCCGGAGCUGUGUAGGGGUCGCGGACUUGCAGGUACCCACAAGGCACCAUCCACAUGUGUGACUCCGCGUCAGGAGGUCGUGUCAGAAACGACUCACGCACUUCACACAGUCGCAAAGUGUCACCGCUUGAAGUGUGCGCAGAAAUCACCUCCUUCCUCUCCUUUUUCACAUACCGAAUAAGAAAUGCCAUAACCGGUGACCGCAUGGUUCCAAAUCACACAUGACAAAGCCACAAAUCACAAGUGUCGGCCCCUGCGCUUUUCCUACCAACACCACACCGAGAUAUCUUUAGGAGAAAUACGGUAUUACCCACGUGUACACAGAAAAUAUAUUCACGAGCUGCUGCUAAUAUUAACAUGCCCAAUGCUGCACACUCUUGCCUUUCAAUUGACUUUUAGCAAUUCCAUCUCAGCUAUAGUCUAGUGACCCCCACGACGAAACGCACGUCUCUUUAUACAUAUUUUAUAAUUUGUUUUAAGUUGUACUUUACAAGGUGUCUAAGUUUUUCUCUGGUAUCCUGAUUUUAGUUAAUAGCAGAAAACAACAACAAGAGCAGAAAUAUGAAAUAACAGUCCUUGAUCUAGUCCUGUUUAGUGUUCCAAAGGAAAAAAAAAAAAUGCAUCUGGGCUGCAGGCACAUGAAAACAUGUCAAUCAGAUGUAAUUGCUCUCCAAGAGAAAUGCUUUUUAGGGAAGUAAAAAAGAACGCAUCCUCAACACAGAGCUUUGUAGCGGCAGCUCAUCUGCUAAUGACAAGCUCGUUUGUUCUCCAACCCGUUCACGAUUCCACAUCGGAAUCGUGACAGAAAAGGACAACCUGACCAGGUCUUCGCUCUUAAACAAUGAGAAAAAUGGUUAUGUGUAGGCAUUUAGAGCUGCUGUAUUUAUAUAAUAUAUAGAAAGACGAUACAUUCUAUAUCCAUGCAUGCGUGGAGUUCAUUACAUCAUCAGCAGUUGCUGAGAAUCAAAGUAACUCUUAACUGCUUACACCAGGGCGGACAAAUAUCAGAACUAUAACACACUCAAAAAAAAUAAUAAGGCUUCUGCUUUUGUUCACAAUAACUCUUAAGGACAUGCAAUAGGCCCAAUUCUGCCUGAAGGCAGUAAGGCGCACAUCCCAGGGGGCAGGCAGUAUUUGAAGGCUGUAUUUGACUGGAUGCACACAGACACCUUUAAAACUCCUUCAAUAUUUUGUCCAUUAUUGUAGAGUCUACUUAAAGGGAAAUCUAAUAAUCCCUGCCACGAAGGACAACUGCUAACUCCAAAAAGAAGGCUGUGGCCUCUAUUUUCUAAAACUGAGAUGUCAUAUAUUUUUCAGCACUAGCGGUGAGGGAUUCACGAACUAAAAGCCAUAAAGUUUUAAAAAAAUAAAACAAAUGAAAAUAACAACAACAAAUCCCAUAGUAAGUAAGCCCCGGCCAGGAAUUCCUUUGUAAAGCCCAUGUAAAUUCACUAAAAUUGGAUGCCACCCAUUAAGCCACGGGCAUUCUCUGGAUGCCACAUUCAGGAAAGCGCAUCAAUGACUUUUGUAUAAAACUCAUUUUAAGUUUCAGAAUAAUUGCCUUUCAGGUUUAACUAUGCUAUGCAAACGGAAACCCCACAAAACUGAGGAGGGCAGACAGGCUUUUAGGGUGGGAGGUGUCUCGCACUACCCACCCACCGCGUGCCUGGGUCCCUAGGAGAAGGCGCUCGAGGCUGAUCCCUUGUGGUCCAUGCUCCCUCCCCACAAGCUCGUCCCAAGGGUGCGGCUCUUCACACCGUCCAGGCCCUGGGGCAUGGCUGGGCCACAGCUCAUGGGUGGUCAUGGCCGUGGUGUGAUGUCAAGACAGAGCCGGGUCCACCCUCCCUGCCUCUCCCUGCACACAGGCAAUGGGAUGUCUCGGCCUGUGACCCAGCACAGCCUCCACGAGGCAGAGCAGCCGCUUUGCCCACGUGGACGCCUGCGCAGAGUUUUCAGCAGCUGUGGCGACGCUGCGAUGCACGGUCCAGAUGCUCCCUCACGGGAACACUUGCUACAGCAGCUUCUGGGGUCCUUGCCAGCCCCUCUGGGGACGGCCUUCAUCAGAACAGGCCACCACCCCCUCCCCAAGGUCACGCAUCUUCCCAGGAUGGCCAACAUCAAAUACCUUAUGAACAGAGUAGUAUGAAAGCCUGGCCAUCUCAGCCCACCUUGGGAAAACUCUGGAGGUUCCUUCUAGUUCUAGAACUCCGAAGACGUCAGCCUAGACCGUUCAUGCACCUGCAUCAAUGCUCAACUUCUCCCUCUCUCCACACCUGCUUCCUCACUUUCCCUUCCACAGGAGGAUCCAUGGGAGCUCAGUAGUAAACACUCUGCACAUUAAAUUCUGACUCAGAGGCUGCUUCCUGGGAAACUCAACCUGGGAGAGUAGGGUUCUGGUCGCCCUCCGUCAUCAACAUCUGGGAGUCUAUAAAGGGGGAUCCCCUGCUGAGGUUUCUAGGUCUAAGACCCCUACUGCACCCUCAUUCACCAGGAAAGUCCUGCAGGCGGAUGCAAUGAGCACAUACUAACUAUCAAUCCAAACUGUAUUUCAUGUUCCUUUUGGAUACUCCAUCAUGUCAUAAUCCACAUGUCAAUGGAGAAGAUUAGGAGUGGGCAAUGCAAUUUAAGCAUCUACUGACAAGGGAUUAAUUUCCCAAAUAUACAAACAGCUCAUACAGCUUAAUAUCAAAAAAAAAAAAAAACCAAACAGCCCAAGCAAAAAAUGGACAGAAGACCUAAGUAGACAUUUGUCUAAAGAAGACAUUCAGAUGGCCAACAGGCACGUGAAAAGAUGCUCAAUAUCACUGUUACAGAGAAAUGCAAAUUAACAGCCAUCAUCAAAAAGUCUACAAAAAAAUACAGAGUUCCUGUAGUGGUGCAGCAGAAACCAAUGUGACUAGUAUCCAUGAGGAUGCAGGUUUGAUCCCUGGCCUCACUCAGCGGGUUAGGGAUCCGGCAUUGCCAUGAGAUGUGGUAUAGGUUGCAGACACAGCUCAAAUCCCACAUUGCUGUGGCUGUGGUGUAGGCCAGCAGCAAUAGCUCCAAUUCAACCCCUAGCCUGGGAACUUCCAUAUGCCAUGGGU
rnacentral:lncRNA from 1 species